GAAUGAGUAGCGAGAUACAUGUGAGAAACAUGUAGGCCGAAUAUCUAAGGAUUCCUGGGUAAAGCUAAUCUUCCCAGGGUUAGUCGGGGCCUAAGGCGAGGACGAAAGUCGUAGUCGAUGGAUAACAGGUUGAUAUUCCUGUACUACACAUAAUCAGAACUGUGGGGACGCAGGAGGAUAGGGAAACCGGGGAAUGGAAAGACCCGGUCAAGCGUAAAGCUGUGGGAGAUAGGCAAAUCCGUCUCCUGUAAGUGAAACGUGAUGAGGACUGAAAAAAAGUAAGGAAGUUUCCGAAUCCACACUGCCGAGAAAAGCCGCUAUUGCGUUAUGUGUACCCGUACCGUAAACCGACACAGGUAGAUGAGGAGAAAAUCCACAGGCCGACGGGAGAAGUGUUGUUAAGGAACUCGGCAAAAUGACCCCGUAACUUCGGGAUAAGGGGAGCCUCGCAAGAGGCCGCAGAAAAGAGGCACAAGCAACUGUUUAGCAAAAACACAGGUCUAUGCGAAACCGUAAGGUGAAGUAUAUGGGCUGACGCCUGCCCGGUGCUGGAAGGUUAAAAGGAGAGGUCAGCGCAAGCGAAGCUUUGAAUUCAAGCCCCAGUAAACGGCGGCCGUAACUAUAACGGUCCUAAGGUAGCGAAAUUCCUUGUCAGGUAAGUUCUGACCCGCACGAAAGGCGUAAUGAUUUGUGCACUGUCUCGACAACACGCCCGGUGAAAUUGAAGAACCAGUGAAGAUACUGGUUACCCGCAACAGGACGGAAAGACCCCAUGGAGCUUUACUGCAGCCUGAUACUGGGAUUCGAUGAUAUAUGUACAGGAUAGGUGGGAGGCUAAGAAGCGAGAACGCUAGUUUUCGUGGAGCCGCCGGUGGGAUACCACUCUUAUGUCAUUGAAUUUCUAACCUGCAUCCGUAAUCCGGGUGAGGGACAAUGUCAGGCGGGCAGUUUGACUGGGGCGGUCGCCUCCUAAAAGGUAACGGAGGCGCUCGAAGGUCACCUCAGAAUGAUUGGAAACCAUUCAAAGAGUGUAAAGGCAAAAGGUGGCUUGACUGCGAGAGCGACGGCUCGAGCAGGUACGAAAGUAGGACUUAGUGAUCCGGUGGUAAUAAGUGGGAAUGCCAUCGCUCAACGGAUAAAAGCUACCCUGGGGAUAACAGGCUUAUCUCCCCCAAGAGUUCACAUCGACGGGGAGGUUUGGCACCUCGAUGUCGGCUCAUCGCAUCCUGGGGCUG
rnacentral:rRNA from 1 species